rnacentral:rRNA from 1 species
UGGAUCCAGACUUUGAUCAUGGCUCAGGAUAAACGCUGGCGGCGCACAUAAGACAUGCAAGUCGAACGGACUUAACUCAUUCUUUUAGAUUGAGAGCGGUUAGUGGCGGACUGGUGAGUAACACGUAAGCAACCUGCCUAUCAGAGGGGAAUAACAGUGAGAAAUCAUUGCUAAUACCGCAUAAGCUAGUAAUAUCACAUGAUAUAGCUAGAAAAGGAGCAAUCCGCUGAUAGAUGGGCUUGCGUCUGAUUAGCUAGUUGGUGGGGUAACGGCCUACCAAGGCGACGAUCAGUAGCCGAACUGAGAGGUUGAACGGCCACAUUGGGACUGAGAUACGGCCCAGACUCCUACGGGAGGCAGCAGUCGGGAAUAUUGCGCAAUGGAGGAAACUCUGACGCAGUGACGCCGCGUAUAGGAAGAAGGUUUUCGGAUUGUAAACUAUUGUCGUGAGGGAAGAAAUUGACAGUACCUCAGGAGGAAGCUCCGGCUAACUAUGUGCCAGCAGCCGCGGUAAUACAUAGGGAGCAAGCGUUAUCCGGAAUUAUUGGGUGUAAAGGGUGCGUAGACGGGAAAUUAAGUUAGUUGUGAAAUCCCUUGGCUUAACCGAGGAACUGCAACUAAAACUGGUUUUCUUGAGUAUUGGAGAGGAAAGUGGAAUUCCUAGUGUAGCGGUGAAAUGCGUAGAUAUUAGGAGGAACACCAGUGGCGAAGGCGACUUUCUGGACAAUAACUGACGUUGAGGCACGAAAGUGUGGGGAGCAAACAGGAUUAGAUACCCUGGUAGUCCACACUGUAAACGAUGGAUACUAGGUGUAGGGUGUAUUAAGCACUCUGUGCCGCCGCAAACGCAUUAAGUAUCCCACCUGGGGAGUACGACCGCAAGGUUGCAACUCAAAGGAAUUGACGGA